GCAUCUCCCACCAGUGUUCUUAGGGUGGUUUUCAUUGGAGAGGCAGGCGUGGAUACAGGAGCACUUAGGAAAGAGUUUUUGAGUGACAUGAUUUCAGGUAUUGAAAGCAGAUUCUUUGAAGGACCUGAGAACAAGGGCAAAAACCCCAAGUAUUCUCUGACCGAUCUUGAUAAUGAAAACUUCAGAACUGUUGGUGAAAUAAUUGCAGUCAGCCUCGCCCAAGGAGGCCCAUCUCCUGCCUUUUUCAAAGAAUGGUGC